GUGGGUGGCUCAGUUGGUAAAGUGCUUGCCUUGCAAGCACAAGGACCUGAGUUCAAGCCUCGGGACCCAUA
rnacentral:tRNA from 1 species